rnacentral:rRNA from 1 species
CAGUCGCCACGGUAAUACGUAGGGUGCGAGCGUUAAUCGGAAUUACUGGGCGUAAAGCGUGCGCAGGCGGUUUUGUAAGACAGGCGUGAAAUCCCCGGGCUCAACCUGGGAAUGGUGCUUGUGACUGCAAAGCUAGAGUGCGGCAGAGGGGGAUGGAAUUCCGCGUGUAGCAGUGAAAUGCGUAGAUAUGCGGAGGAACACCGAUGGCGAAGGCAAUCCCCUGGGCCUGCACUGACGCUCAUGCACGAAAGCGUGGGGAGUAAACAGGAUUAGAUACCCGGGUAGUCCCUGUCUCUUAUAC